GUCGAGCGGUAGCACAGAGAGCUUGCUCUCGGGUGACGAGCGGCGGACGGGUGAGUAAUGUCUGGGAAACUGCCUGAUGGAGGGGGAUAACUACUGGAAACGGUAGCUAAUACCGCAUAAUGUCGCAAGACCAAAGUGGGGGACCUUCGGGCCUCAUGCCAUCAGAUGUGCCCAGAUGGGAUUAGCUAGUAGGUGGGGUAACGGCUCACCUAGGCGACGAUCCCUAGCUGGUCUGAGAGGAUGACCAGCCACACUGGAACUGAGACACGGUCCAGACUCCUACGGGAGGCAGCAGUGGGGAAUAUUGCACAAUGGGCGCAAGCCUGAUGCAGCCAUGCCGCGUGUGUGAAGAAGGCCUUCGGGUUGUAAAGCACUUUCAGCGGGGAGGAAGGCGGUGAGGUUAAUAACCUUGUCGAUUGACGUUACCCGCAGAAGAAGCACCGGCUAACUCCGUGCCAGCAGCCGCGGUAAUACGGAGGGUGCAAGCGUUAAUCGGAAUUACUGGGCGUAAAGCGCACGCAGGCGGUCUGUCAAGUCGGAUGUGAAAUCCCCGGGCUCAACCUGGGAACUGCAUUCGAAACUGGCAGGCUAGAGUCUUGUAGAGGGGGGUAGAAUUCCAGGUGUAGCGGUGAAAUGCGUAGAGAUCUGGAGGAAUACCGGUGGCGAAGGCGGCCCCCUGGACAAAGACUGACGCUCAGGUGCGAAAGCGUGGGGGAGCAAACAGGAUUAGAUACCCUGGUAGUCCACGCCGUAAACGAUGUCGAUUUGGAGGUUGUGCCCUUUGAGGCGUGGCUUCCGGAGCUAACGCGUUAAAUCGACCGCCUGGGGAGUACGGCCGCAAGGUUAAAACUCAAAUGAAUUGACGGGGGCCCGCACAAGCGGUGGAGCAUGUGGUUUAAUUCGAUGCAACGCGAAGAACCUUACCUGGUCUUGACAUCCACAGAACUUAGCAGAGAUGCUUUGGUGCCUUCGGGAACUGUGAGACAGGUGCUGCAUGGCUGUCGUCAGCUCGUGUUGUGAAAUGUUGGGUUAAGUCCCGCAACGAGCGCAACCCUUAUCCUUUGUUGCCAGCGGUCCGGCCGGGAACUCAAAGGAGACUGCCAGUGAUAAACUGGAGGAAGGUGGGGAUGACGUCAAGUCAUCAUGGCCCUUACGACCAGGGCUACACACGUGCUACAAUGGCAUAUACAAAGAGAAGCGACCUCGCGAGAGCAAGCGGACCUCAUAAAGUAUGUCGUAGUCCGGAUUGGAGUCUGCAACUCGACUCCAUGAAGUCGGAAUCGCUAGUAAUCGUAGAUCAGAAUGCUACGGUGAAUACGUUCCCGGGCCUUGUACACACCGCCCGUCACACCAUGGGAGUGGGUUGCAAAAGAAGUAGGUAGCUUAACCUUCGGGAGGGCGCUUAC
rnacentral:rRNA from 1 species